UGCCUAACACAUGCAAGUCAAGGAGAAAAAGGUAGCAAUAUCUUGAGUAAACUGGCGAACGGGUGAGUAACACGUAGAUAACUUACCCUAUGAACGGGAAUAACUCCGCGAAAGCGGUGCUAAUACCCGAUAUUGUUCCGACAUGGCAUCAUGUCGGAAUGAAAUGUCCCAAAAGGAUGUCAUAGGAUGGGUCUGCGUCCCAUUAGAUAGUUGGCGGGGUAAUGGCCCACCAAGUCGACGAUGGGUAGCUGGUCUGAGAGGACGACCAGCCACACUGGAACUGAGACACGGUCCAGACUUCUACGGAAGGCAGCAGUGAGGAAUAUUGCUCAAUGGGCGAAAGCCUGCCGCAGCGACGCCGCGUGAAGGAUGAAAUCCGUUAGGAUGGUACUUC
rnacentral:rRNA from 1 species